AGCGAACGCUGGCGGCGUACUUAACACAUGCAAGUCGAACGGGGAGUCGAUGGGUAGCAAUGCUCAUCGGCUUCUAGUGGCGCACGGGUGAGUAACACGUGAGUGACCUGCCCUUGGGUCCGGGAUACCUCUUCGAAAGGAGAGCUAAUACCGGGUACGUUCGCCUGGCUGCGAGGCCGGGCGAGGACAGGCCGUGGCAACACGGUCGCCCAAGGAGGGGCUCGCGGCCUANCAGCUAGUUGGCGGGGUAAUGGCCCACCAAGGCGAUGACGGGUAGCUGGUCUGAGAGGACGACCAGCCACACGGGGACUGAGACAC
rnacentral:rRNA from 1 species